rfam:Hordeum vulgare subsp. vulgare, WGS project CAJW01000000 data, contig: morex_contig_98499
UUAAUACUCCCUCCGUCCCAAAANNNUUGUCUUAGAUUUGUCUAGAUAUGGAUGUAUCUAGUCACGUUUUAGCAUUUAAAUACAUCCAUUUCUAAACAAAACUAAGACAACAUUUUAAGACGGAGGGAGUAGUAA